CACAGAAAAGACAUAUGGUCACAAUGGGACUGUAAUUACCAGGGCUGUGAGCAGAGCUCUUAUGCUUAUAUAUCAAGAUUUGAAGUGAAAUGGCUGCAUGCAGGGAUGUGUGGUAUCACACCAUCACCAAAGUUUAUUAGUGAAAAAAACCUAACUGCAUGGAAGAGUACUGCAGCUGUAGCACAUAAUAAGGAAGUGCAGGAGGUGAAACCUGUACAGGUUUUAGUCUAAUACUGCCUUUUUAACAUUACAGUGCUCCAGAUGAAUGCUGUAGUCUGGUUAUCCUAGAAGCUACACGAAGCACAACAGUUAACCAUGGUUACAUGAAGCAGGAAGAACAAAGACAGUCUUGCAAAGUCUGCCAGGAGGCAUUUACAGCUUUGUUCUGAGAAGACAAUGAUGCUAAGGUUCUGCAUAUUCCAUUACAUUUUGCUGCUGUGUGACAGAUGGCAGAAGAGGGGCGUCUGACAUGGAUGUGCACAUGGAGCAAAGGUGUGGAACAGUAUUCCUCCAUGCAGAAAAAAUGGCACCCACUGACAUUUAUCGAUGCUUGCUGAAUGACUGUGAAGACCAAACAGUGGAUGUGAGCACAGUGAGGCGGUGGUUGGUGCAUUUCAGCAGUGGCAAUGGGCUGCCAGAUGUGCCAAAAAGGCUUUUGGAUGUGACUGAGGGCUUGUAUGCUUUCAGUGCAUUUUAUUGUUGCUUUUCUUCAUUUUUGCACUGCUACAGCCUUUAAUCUAGGCACAAAUGUUCUCAUUAGAUUUGGAGAAUUACAGAGUAAUUGGCCUUUUGCCCUAAAUCUAUAAAAUAGAAAGCAAAUAUGUUUUGCAAAAUCUAAUCAGAAAAACUUGAAGGUGACCCUGGGGGAAAGCAAUCCUGAAGGCAAGGAUUUGGGUGUAAUACAUUGUCUGGAGGCAAGCGAGGACAUACUGGCACACUGCCUGUACAUAGCUGUGCAGUCAGUCCUAUAGGGAUAUGCUGUUUCAAGAAUUGCCUGGCUUGUCUCUUCAUUCUUCAUGCCAGUUUCUCCCUACCAGAAGGAACCAGAAGUCUUGCUGCGUGUGCAGAGCAUGGGGACUGAACUGUGCCAGAAGGUGAUAACAGUGGAGGAGAAAUAUGGUAGUAGCCUCCAGGUCCUGAGAGUGGACGUGAUACAAGAAAGGAAUAGCACGUCUCCCAACUUUGCUUAAAUGGACCGAACUCUGGAAUGAAAGUGUGACCUUCUGUAAUAUGAUCUUUAUGACUCUUAUUUCAUUUUAAGUUCUAGUAUCUUUAACUACUUAUGUUCUGCCAUUUCCCUUUUAUGUCUCCCAUAAGCUGUGGGAGGCCUCUUCUCUUUUACUACUGCAUUUCUCUGUACUUUUACAGGGUGAGUCAACGAGAAGCAAGUGUACAGUGAUGUCAACAAGAGAUGGUAGAAUUUAAUACUCUCUGCCAUCCUGCAAGCUAGGAAACCAGCCAGUAGUACCUUAACAGUUGGAUAACUUGCUUCAAGUCACUAUCAAAACAUCAACAUGGUCACAUCAUUACUACUUGAGAAUAACAUACAGGGAUAAACAAAAGCAAGAAUGUCUCUGUAGGGUGACAUACAGAGUGUUAGCAUUGCAAAUCUUGUUCUGUAUCUAAUCCAUCUGCUCUGGGUUCAAAGCUAACUUUUUAAAGGGAUUUCUAGCUUUUCUGAGAUAAUGCUGUGGUUUAUUUCACUACAGUUAAAUGCUCCCAGUGUAUCAUAACAGCUUACUAUCUUUGGGAAAUGGCUUACUGUAGGAAUUUAAAUGGCUCUUGACAUAUUACAAACAGCUGUUUUUAUAAAAACAACUUAGUGAAGUGGACUUAGACACACUUGUAAGUAUAAAAAAUUGAUCCAGUUAUAAGAGAAGGGGAGACAUCCUUAACUCAAGCCUUAAUUACAGCUUGAUAAUCAUUGACCUUAUAAAGGCCAGCACUAAUCCUCAAAGAAGGGAAAGCAGUUGCAGCCUUGCAGGUUCCUCUACUCUGACAAUGCUACCGGGUGUGGUAACUCUGUCAACUGUUUGAGUCAUUUGUUAGUUUUUUAAUCCUUUACUUUGACCUCUACCUUGUGUGAUAUUGUGAGUGAAAGGGGGAGAGACCCACAUCUGUGCUGCACUUGGUGUUGCUGGCUUUGCAAUGUUAACCUUCCUGACUCAAUGAGGUAUUCACAUGGAGAUUUCAGAAAUGCAUAGUGCUGCUUGUAUAUAGAUCUUGACAAAUGACUUUCUCUGCCUUCAAAGUUUGUAGUUCAAGACGCUUCAUUUUUGUACCAAUUAACAUCUAAGGGACUAUUUUUGAAGUUUUUUUUUCUCUUGUUGUGUUGUAGAUACUUACCUCACCAUUGAAGAAGCAGAAUAUAGUUGCCACAAGCAAGCCCUAGGAGGAAGAAAAUGAAAAGCAUUUAAGGAUCAGAAUAUAUGCAUAGAUUUUUUUGCAUUGUUUGGAAGAUGAGGCUUGAGGCAUGCAAGACAAACUUUGAUCCACUUCCUUUCCAUCACAGACAUUUCACCUAACAUCCUCCUAAUUCUCAGUUAUAUUUUUACACCAGUUUUUGUCCUUUCAAUGUAUUUUCUUCCAGAUUACUGGCAUUUCUAGAUGAUCUGUUCUGCCUAUAAACUUAUUUUUGUUUGAGAGGCCAGGAGGAGGAUAACUAAGUGAUACUGGCUUUCUGAAGUGAAGGCAAAGGAACUGCCCCACAUGCUGCUGUGCCUUUGUCAGAGUGAAGUUACCCAGUUAAGACUGUCACACAAGGGAAGCCCAGCUGUGCCAGAAAGGCUUUCAGUUGAAGUGUAUGAUGGGAUAAGUGGACCUGCAUGUGCAGCAUCAGUAUGGAUGGGAAGGUGUGAAAACAAAUAUUAGAGGUCAGAAAAAGGGAAAACAAACCAACACAAAACACAGGUGAAAUAGAAGAUAUUUCCUUACCUCCACAGGAUUAAACAGGGUCAAGCCAACAACAUGAGAUGAGGAAGUGUGAAACAGUUGCAGUGUGUAAUUGCAAAUGCCUUCAAAUGUGAAGACAGAGGAGGUGGAAGGGCAAUCAGAGUGAGAAAAAGAAAUCUUUUUAUGAUUUGGAAGAACAGUACCCUCUGAAAACUCCAAUUCCAGAACACAUAGUCAGCCACAAUGGGAACUGAGAUGGAUUUUGAUCUCCUCUGAGACUGGAGAAGUUCAGUGGGGCACAGAAGAUAAGGAGGAGAGAAAGAAGCUAAGUCUGCUCUCCAGGGUGAGUGUUUUAGGGGAAAUCGGGAACUGCAGUUCACCUUAAGGCAGAAAUUGAACGUGAACUACUGAUGUCAUUUUCCAUUUUAUUUCAUGGAAUCAUAGGAUGGUUUGGAAUGGAAGGGAUCUUUAGGAUCACCUAGUUCCAACCCCCUGCUAUAGGCAGGGACACCUCCCAAUAGACCAGGUUGCUCAACGCCCCAUCCAGCCUGGCCUUGAAUGCUUCCAAAUACAUGGUUUCUUGUACAGUGUUCAAAUUCUUGUUAAAUCCUACAGUUAAUCUACUUCUGUUCCCUUCACUAUUGCUUUCUCUAGACUUUGCUAGAAAAGCUAAAGAGGAAGCAGUACUGAUGCCACAUAUCUCCAGUUGCUCUUCUGGUCUGCAAUAAGCUGAGAACAGAUGUGACUGUUCACCUCUUUGAAAUCAUGGAAGUUGUACAUCUCUGUAAGAUGGAAGUUGUACAUCUCUGCUGACUGAGGAAAUUAUCUCCUUUGUCUUGUGUAUGUCUCACUGCUCUUCUUUCAACAGCAACAGCCCUCUGGGCUCUGCCAUCCAAAACGUAUCUGUACUGCUCCUGAAUCUACUUGAAAGCAAGUCAGAAACCUCUGUAACAACCACACACAGAUCUGGAGGUCCCCAGCAGACUUCUGACACUGGGGAGUAAAGGCUCCUAUGAACUGAGCCAAAUUAGGGACAUUUACCUAUCACCUUACUCAUUUCUUGCCUAUCUAUCAUAUUUAUGCUGCUCCACUACCUUCCUCUCUUUUCUGAGUUUAAGUGGAUCUGAAAUGUCCUUGUGCUCUUGAAUCUAUCUCAGGAAGAGGGAAAAGAAGUCCAACAGAACAGAAUUCUUUCUACAGAUGAUGAAUAGGACAGUGUUAAUUCACAGUUUGGGACUGAAGCUCACAUUUCAAGAACAGCUUUUCUAAAAUUUAUAUAUAUAUAUACACAUAUAUUCACUCUUUUCCUUUUAGAUGUUAACCCUCUAUGUAAGAAAAAACAUCAGAAAACACUACAACGGACCCAGUAACCAACUGUGUUCACUAAGAGUGAACUAAUAUUCCACUAAUAGUGGAAAUACACAGAUGGAAGAUCUCCAUAAUGACUUGUUGCAAGUCUCACGAGACCCCCCCUUACAGCUGUAAGGAAACCAGCAUGAGCACACACACAGAGCUAGGUCUAACACCGAGCCUGGGGCCCUUGGGCUCAUCUGCAAAGUAGGAAUUAAUGCUCAUUUUUCGUCUUUUUAUAUGUUAUAUAAGCACUUCUUGCUCUUCCCUGUGCUGAAGAAAUCUGAGGACGUGUGUUGAAAAGACAAGUGGCCAGAAUAAAAUUUAUUGUGCUUCCCUAGAUAAUUGCUUUCACUGACAUUUGCAUGAAUUUGGGCAAUUUAUAUUUGAAAUUAAACCGCACUGUUUAACAAUAGCUUUUGUGAGAUGCCAUCUGGAAUAAAGGUGGAGGUUAAUUUUUUGUUUCAGCCUCUGCUGCAUGAGUGCAUUUUGGGUCCCCAUAUCAUACGCUCAAAGGUUUCCCCUUUACCCACACAAUAAAAACCCCAACCCAAAUAAAUACUGAGAGGAAUAGAAACAGACUGUUUGCCAUGCAGGGGACUGAGGUAACCUUUCUUGAAGCUUGAUGAGGUCUCAUGACAGAUGGGAGUCUAAUGAGUCUGACGGAGAAUAAUAGAUAACUGGUAUGGCAUCUGCCCACUUACAGAUAGCAAACUAUGGGAUGUGUCAGCCUUCUGUGCAAACACAGAAAUGAUGUUCACACACAACUGGUGAACAAUAUUAGGAUAAGACCAAGAGAAAACAUGCAGCAAAGAUCUGGAAGAUUAAAUGUACAGGUAAACUGCUUGUUGCUUUUAAUUAGAGCAAAUACUAAAGUGGUUCUGUGUCUUUAUUGAAUUUUAAGCCAUGUCUCUUGGCAGUAGGAUAUUUAUCCUCACCAAAAUUGCCAUCUCACCUGUUUUUGCGAAAUACAAGUAUCACAGCUACAACACGCACCUCUGGCACUAACAGACUUUUCAUUCCCCUCAUCUCUAUCAGGCCCUUAUUAUAACAUCCAACAUAUUUUCAAUCACAGUCCACUACAUGAACAAUUGCGUCUAAUACUAUUAGUUCUGUUUCAGCUUCUUCUGAUUUCUGUGUAUUUUUUUUUUUCAUAGUUCAGUGUACUGUGCAUAUCUUCAGCGGUAAAGCUACAGAAAUACCAGCAGCAGAUAUCAACUUUGUGUCUUUGAAGCUAGGAAGGGAUGGGAUGCUGAUAACUUUAUGACGGAUACACAUAAUAUUAUCAAAUGUGAGAGGUUGGAUGUAGGUUACCAUAUUAUGUAAGGCCCAUGGGUUAAUUCUGGUAUUUCCUUGACAUAAGCCUUCCAUAUUCUCCCUAGCUGCUGCUUUUUUUUUUUUUUUCUUUUUUAGCUCAGGGUGCAAUCCCUGCUGAGGAUGAGCCCUCUAGUUCAAUUAUCUAUGUCUGCCACUGUGUGGAGUUGUAAAACUGACCUAUGACACAUUAUCUGCUGACAGAGGGUAACAGUGACUGUGGGAUUGACAGCAGAGAUGGGGACUACGUUUAUUUGGACCUUUAAGUUCCUCUAUAGUUUGCUUCUGAAAUUCAUUAUUUCUGGAAUCAUUUGAAUCCCAAAAGCACAUGGCUCUCUGACGAAUCAUGCCUAAGGGACCAUCCAGAGCCAGAAGCUCUCAGACCUUUGUGAACUUGAUUGAUCCCACAGUAAUUUUUUCUUUGUGUUUAAUACUGGUCCAAGGACAUUAAUGCUUGACAGGUAUUUGACUUAUAUUUCACUCUCCUACAGGAUGUAAUUUGCUCAGGUUAAAAACAAACAAAACCCUAUGCAGAUGUUUCAAAUUUAUGUGGGUUUCUGAUACUUGAGUUGUAUUUCUUCUAGCUUAUGGCUCCCUAAAAACAAUACCACAUAUCUAGAUGUGCUUAUUUCUGUUUUUCCUGAGCAUGUUCAUGCUUUAGUCUCCGUCCUACAUGCUUUUAUGGGAUUCGCUGUCAGUGGUAGAAGUUAAGGGCAGAGGUACAGCUAAGUGUAAUAUGAAAAAGCAGUUUCUGUUUCUCUCUGUAGGAUUUCGUCCACAUCCAUGCACUUUUGGAUCUGAAUGGAGAGAAAAUAAAGAAAAUAAGCAUGGCCAAGGUGCUUCAGUGAAGCAUUUCCCCUUUCUCAGCUCUCUCAUUUCAGAAAAGGAGCUUUGAGAAAAAUAGUAUUGUGUUCCCCAUCAUUUCCAUUUACAGCAUGCCCAUACAGCACCUCUGAGGUAAAUGACUGCCUUAUGAAGUGUUUGCUUAUGUUAGGUUAAAAAAAAAAAUGCAAAUUAAUAAAUGAAUGCAGUUUUUGCUGCCGCUGAGGUGGGGAGGUAAACAUGAAAGGACUAAAGAUGGCAAUAAAAUGAUGGAGACACCCCAUCAGCAAAAGCUCACGUUUUGCUGCUGCUUCUCUUCUGCUGCAGCUUUAAUCACUGUCAUUUCAUACAGUAAUUCUUCACACAGAAAGGGCACCUCAGAAUAUUCAGCUUUCAAAAAAGGCUUCCUCAACUCUUACAGGCUCAAAAUCUUAGAAAGUUUUGAAAAUACUAAUAAUACAAAGAAAAACAAAGAAAAAUAAAUAAAAGAAACAUUUACGUUGUCAAAAGCAGUCCUAUGGCCUCAACUUUGCACAGAAGGAGAAAACGUUUGUCUGGUUUGGUAUCACAGAGGAUACUUACGGCCUUCUAAUUGGAGAAACAAAUGAAAUGAAAAACCUUCUGUAAUGGAUUGAAAGAUCUCAGGGUUUAAGAGAUUACUUUUAAGCGGGUUAAUUUUGUCCUGCAUAAAACUGCAAUGAGCGCUAUCACUUGGAAUUCAAUAUAUGACUUGGAGGCAGGGUAGGUGUGUAUGUGUCUCAAGUCCAUGGCUGGAAACUACAGCAUAACCUGGAUAGAGAUGAGGCCCUUGUGAUCAGGACUCCCUGCCUAGCGGGGCAGGAGCUGUUGUCUGUGGGUGCUGCCUGGAAGCUGAUGAGCAGCUCCAGCAUAAUCCUACCUGAGGAGAAGGAAAACUUAGAUUGUGCCCCAUGUAAUAGAAAAAUUCUUAUUUGUCAAUGACAAGGCCAUUAUGCUAAACAGCACUGACAUUUCUCAGUAGAGGCAGACUUGCAUGUUUAGAGCUGUAGUCAGUAAGGUAUUGAGGAUAUGAGUAACCUUUAGAAUCUGCAUGUUGUCAUAGGUUCAGGGACUGUUUCUCCACCACCUCCGUGGCUAAAUGUUCUCCGACAUAGUGACAGUGUCCCAUCAGCCUCUAUAAACCCACAUACAAUGGAUAUGUUCCCACAGCAGAGGUGUGCAAAGGGCCAGCACAACUUGUACCAUGAUGUUUUAAGCUCCGAGGAGGGCUACAUCUUCCUCAUGCUUUCUGUACUAACAGGCUUUUGAAAGUCAGGUCCUGUAGGGAAAAUCUGCAGUUCACUUUUCUGGAGUACAAGUGUUUGCUUUGUGGUGCCUACUUUAGCUCUGUUUAAUUAGCUGCAGCGUGCACCUACAGCAUCCCUUCUGGGGCAUUAGUUAUUCCACUUAAAGGCUGAAAUACCUUUCUUUUAUCUGGUGUAAUCUUAGCAUGGUCUGGAGGCUGAAGAUCUGAUGCUGGUGAUGCUGACAGCAAUUAUUAAUUGCUACUUUUACAGGAUCCACGAGGGGCCAGCCGGAUGUGCUGGAAAAGAACACCCAUUCCACGCUGCAGCACAAAAGUCACUUUAUGAUUUUUAUUGCUUCUUAUAUAUCUACUCUACUAAUCUAAUAAGAGGCAUCUGGUCUGCGUGAUGAAAGACACACAUUCUGAUAAAGGUAAGGUAGGGUAAAU